rnacentral:rRNA from 1 species
UGUCCGAUGACUGGCGUAAAGGGCGUGUAGUGCCUAUAGUAUCAGGUGGAAGUCCCGAAUUCAAAGCGGGAAUUGCCUGGUAGACUGUAGGGCUUGAGUGUGGGAGAGGAUAGCGGAAUUCCCGGUGUAGCGGUGAAAUGCGUAGAGAUCGGGAGGAACACCAGUGGCGAAGGCGGCUAUCUGGACCAAGACUGACACUGAGGCGCGAAAGCGUGGGUAGCAAACAGGAUUAGAUACCCUGGUAGUCCACGCUGUAAACGAUGGAUGCUAGGUGUAGGAGGUAUCGACCCCUUCUGUGCCGUAGUUAACGUAAUAAGCAUCCCGCCUGGGGAGUACGGCCGCAAGGUUGAAACUCAAAGGAAUUGACGGGACCCCGCACAAGCAGCGGAGCAUGUGGUUUAAUUCGACGCAACGCGAAGAACCUUACCAGGUCUUGACAUCGAAGGAAUGCGCAGAGAUGCGCAGUGCCCGCAAGGGAGCCUGAAGACAGGUGGUGCAUGGUUGUCGUCAGCUCGUGUCGUGAGAUGUUGGGUUAAGUCCCGCAACGAGCGCAACCCUUGCCGUCAGUUACUAACGGGUAAAGCCGAGGACUCUGGCGGGACUGCCGUGGACAACACGGAGGAAGGUGGGGAUGACGUCAAAUCAUCAUGCCCCUUAUGACCUGGGCUACACACGUGCUACAAUGGCCGGAACAAAGAGGUACGAAUACGCAAGUAAGAGUGGAUCUCAAAAACCGGUCUCAGUUCAGAUUGUGGGCUGCAACCCGCCCACAUGAAGUCGGAGUUGCUAGUAAUCGCGAAUCAGCAUGUCGCGGUGAAUACGUUCCCGGGGUUUGUACACACCGCCCGUCACACCAUGGGAGUUGGGAGCGCCCGAAGCGGGUGAGAUAACCGCAAGGGGUCAGCCUCGA